ACUCAAUCAAUUAUAAAAAAUCCAACCCAAACAAAUAUUCACUGAGCCUAUAUCAAAAAAAAAAAUUCAAGAGGCUUUGAGAGAGAGGACGAGGGAGAGUGAGAUGGAUCUCUCUGAACCCCUAAAAUCUCGAUGUCAUCGCCACCGCCAUUGCCAUCAUUGUCUCCUCAUCAAUGUGACGCUGGUGGAGUUAUGAAUGGAGGACAAGGUGAUCAUGGAGCUCUCAGGAUAGUAAUGCUUUAGAUCUUCCGCUUCUGUGUUGUCUUUCAUGACAAGUUCUUCCGCUGGUUCUGCUUUUGCUCCAGUGGCUUGAAGCACUUAGAGAGCGAUUUUGGCACGGAGUCGGUGGCGCUGGUUGAGGAGAUCUGAAAGGCGAACAAGCGGGAGUCUCUGGACGCUUCAAUUGAAGUUGCGUUUGAAGCUAUCAAAUCUCGUGGAACUGAUUUUCAUAUCAUUCCAAGUUAUUGUGGUGAGAAUUUGUUCCUAAUUUGUUCUUGUUUAGUUCAACACUUAAAUUUCAUGGUUUCAAUGAUGUGUAUUGUAUAUGACAUUUUGUAUUUUAAUUUAUAUGAUAAUUGUUCACCAGGUUCUUGAAAUGAGUGAUUUCACUUAACCGCAUUUGAAGAUAUGAUAGACUCUAUUAAUUGCCAUUUUAGUUUUAGCCAUUUUGCAUUUUAAUUUUUCCUAUUCUGUUGGUAUCAGCAAUUUUCGUAACAAAACUUAGGCUAGAGAAAGCUUAACCAAAAUAAUGAUGACAAAGAAACAAUAUGUCCUCUUCACCAUAGUCCUCUUAAUUUUACUUUUGUUAUUUGAGUUGAAUUUGUUAAUCCAAUGUUCACUUUUUCUUUAAUGAAAUAUGAGUUCCUGUAGAUGGUUGAAAGUAAUGAAAUUAACAAAUUUUGGUUGGCACUUCUCGAUGAAAACAUAGUCGGUGUACAUUGGAAUAACCAGGAAUUGACUGGAUUGAGUACAAGAAAAAACCAAAGAAAGCAGACCAAUAAAUAUGGAAGGGCCUAAGAUUCGAUCUAAUCCAAAUUGGAUAUAAUCUUAUUAUGUGUUGUGUUAGAUUGAGUUGCGGGGUUUGUAUGUUCUUUUGUUUGUGCUGGUGUUACAUUGGAAUUGGGUGAGUUUGAAUGAAGUUUUGGGAAGUGGAAUUGAAAAAAGAGGAAUAGAGGUAUUGAUUGUUGGCUACCAUUUCAAUUAACUCCAGUACU